rnacentral:pre_miRNA from 1 species
UAUGUACUCCCUCCGUUCGGAAUUACUUGUCACAAAAAUGGAUGUAUCUACAACUAAAAUACAUCUAUAUACAUUCAUUUCUUGGACGAGUAAUUCCGAACGGAGGGAGUAGCUC